CAAUAGCGUAUAUUUAAGUUGUUGCAGUUAAAAAGCUCGUAGUCGGAUUUUGGCUGAGAACGAUCGGUCCGCCGUUAGGUGUGCACUGAUUGGUCUCAGCUUCCUGGUGAGGAGGUGUGCUUCACGGCCACUUAGUCACCGUGGUUACUUUGAAAAAAUUAGAGUGUUCAAAGCGGGCUUACGCUUGAAUAUAUUAGCAUGGAAUAACACCAUAGGACUCCUGUCCUAUUUCGUUGGUCUCGGGACGGGAGUAAUGAUUAAGAGGAACAGUUGGGGGCAUUCGUAUUUCAUUGUCAGAGGUGAAAUUCUUGGAUUUAUGAAAGACGAACUUCUGCGAAAGCAUUUGCCGAGGAUGUUUUCAUUAA
rnacentral:rRNA from 1 species